ensembl:lncRNA
CUACAUUUCUCCAAACCUGUUCUGAUGAAGAAACAAACUCAUCUAUAGCUUGGAUGGCCUGCAGAAGUACGUGGAAGGAGACGGGCCACGGCUCCCAUCUCGUGGCCAUUGCUCUCAGAUGCUGGGUCAUUGAGGCUGUCUGCUGGUGCCAAGGCUUCAGUUGGAAGAGCAGCUGCGGCUGCUUCAGCGCUUAACUGCUGGGCUGCGGCCGCCUGCGCCUCCUGGAGCUGCUGCUGUUGCUGAACCAGAGCAGCGAGUUCCUGCUGGGUCAAAACUAUAGGGAUGGUGGUGGUUUGCUGCCCAUCCUGACCUGCGUUUCCCUCACCUGAGACAGAAAGUAAAGUCAAGCAGAGAAGUCAAACUCUACUGCAUACAUCAUAAUGCAUAUGGCAGUCUCUCGUACACUUACUG